rnacentral:lncRNA from 1 species
AAAGAGGUCACUGAGAGCUAGGCUAGCCCCAGUGUCGAAGGUAGAAGAAUGAGUGUCACUGUUAAAGUUAUAGGAGACAAACUGAUUCUCCAUGUAGCCCAGGAUGCCCUUGAGGGGGCCUCUGAUGCCUGCUUCACCACCUUCUAGAUGUCAUCAUAUUUG